rnacentral:rRNA from 1 species
UACGAAGGGGGCGAGCGUUGUUCGGAAUUACUGGGCGUAAAGGGCGCGCAGGCGGCCCUUGAAGUCAGGCGUGAAAGCCCCGGGCUCAACCUGGGAGGUGCGCUUGAUACUCGAGGGCUUGAGUGCGGGAGAGGAGAGUGGAAUUCCCAGUGUAGAGGUGAAAUUCGUAGAUAUUGGGAAGAACACCGAGUGGCGAAGGCGGCUCACGUGGACCGGAACUGACGCUGAGGCGCGAAAGCGUGGGAGCAAACGGG